rnacentral:rRNA from 1 species
CUCAACACUAAUAUAACCCAACAUUAUUAAUAACAAGACAAGACUUAACACCAUAAACUAAACCAUUUUUUUACCUGAGUAUGGGAGACAGAAAAGGUUCAAUUCGAAGCGAUAGAAGAAGUACCGCAAGGGAAAGCUGAAAGAGAAAUGAAAUAACCCAUAUAAGCACUAAGAAACAAAGAUAAAACCUU